AACGAACGCUGGCGGCAGGCCUAACACAUGCAAGUCGAGCGAGGACUUCGGUUCUAGCGGCGGACGGGUGAGUAACGCGUGGGAAUGUGCCCUUCUCUACGGAAUAGCCCGGGAAACUGGGAGUAAUACCGUAUACGCCCUAUUGGGGAAAGAUUUAUCGGAGAAGGAUCAGCCCGCGUUGGAUUAGGUAGUUGGUGGGGUAAUGGCCUACUAAGCCGACGAUCCAUAGCUGGUUUGAGAGGAUGAUCAGCCACACUGGGACUGAGACACGGCCCAGACUCCUACGGGAGGCAGCAGUGGGGAAUCUUAGACAAUGGGCGCAAACCUGAUCUAGCCAUGCCGCGUGAGUGAUGAAGGCCUUAGAGUUGUAAAGCUCUUUCAGCUGGGAAGAUAAUGACGGUACCAGCAGAAGAAGCCCCGGCUAACUCCGUG
rnacentral:rRNA from 1 species